GUUCAUUCUUGAACAUAUACUAAAAUUGGAACAGUGCAGAGAAGAUUAGCAUGCCCCUGGGCAAGGAUGACACGCGAAAUCGUGAAGCGUUCCAAGAAGGCAUUUUU
rfam:Oesophagostomum dentatum strain OD-Hann O_dentatum-1.0_Cont1391.9, whole genome shotgun sequence.